GCUAAAGCAGCGGGCCGGGCGGAAGGUCGGGGAGCCAGAGCCCAGGGAAGAGCAGAAGGCGCGGGGGGGCGGGGGGGGCACCCAGGAGGGAGGACGGGGCAGCGGUGAGGGUGUAGACGGGAGGGAAUCUGUCCGGUGCCGCAGUGAGUUGGGUGGCGGUGAUUUGUUCGCGGGCGCAGGCUGGGAGGCGGGGUUCCUGACUCACUGCGGCACUGGCAGGGCUGGUGACAGCACCACCCCCGCGCCGCCUGCAAUCUGCCACCGCUGCCACCGAGCCGAGGGGCGCCAGCAAGGCAUCCCCUGGGUCAAGGGGCCUCCCGUGGGCUUUCCAAACAGCCUGUGCUCAUUUCCGCGGGAGCCCUCGGGGCGCUGUGCUGUGGCUGCAUUGUCACUGUUUGUUUAUUUCUACAUCUGCUCUGUUAGAAGAUAGGCUCGCUUAGGACAGAGCCUUCUAAUCCACCCCCUGAUGAAUUCGGGCCCUCGCCUUUGGCACAAUGCCUGGCGUCAUCACAACGCGGGUGAUCAGUAAACGGCAGCGAAGGAAGCGGGGUCAGGACUGGAGAGGAGAGGGGGAGGAAGACAGACGACCGGAGAGGAACAAAAAUGGAAGGUAACUUGAGCUUUCAUAACUGCAGAAGUGCAAAACAGCUCCCUGUGUGAUAUAGGAAGUAAAACCGUAGAGAUGGGACUUGGCUGGCCUGCCCUUCACACACUUUAGACAUUAACCCAAAGUUCAUGCUCCUGCCAUGACAGUGAUGGUGGACAGGAGGGAAGAAAAUGACAAGGAGGAAAGGAGGUGUCUUUUGCUCUUAAAAAUGAGAAGGGUCAUAAACAAUCCAUCGGCUGCAAACCACGAGUUGCCCCCAAAGCAAAGCAGGUUAGUGGCUGCUGCCGCCUCAUCAUAGCUUCAGAACCCACAGAGCCUGGAGGACUGUCAAACAUUAUCUAAUAUCCCAUUCUACAGAAGAGAAAACUGAGGUUGAGGCAGGAACGCAGACAGGAAUCAAGGUUUUGGGGUUGGGAUUUGCAAUCCAUUACUUUGCCUCCUGCAUCCACUGCUUUUCCCUGGGCAUUCUCUUCUUCCGGUUUCUUGGAAGUUAAAAUUGCGAGAGAAGCAACACAGAGUGGUUUUCCCAGGGCCUCGACCUCGGUAAGGGAAGACGUGGAAUUCCGAGUGUGGAGACCCAGACAGCCUCCGAAACCCCCACGCAACCCUGGGCGUUCAGCAGCUGCCAAUGCCCGCCUGACAAGUUUCUGGGGCAUCUCUGCACACGGAGAGGUGUGUCUCCUGCAGCUCCAAAAACAGAUUUUGCCAUCUCAUCCCCAUAUUUGCAGUCUCCAGUUGGCUUCUUGUGAUUGGCCAGAACUUUUCCUCACUGGAGAGAUGAGGAGAAUCCAGUCCUCCAACCAGCUGAGAGAAAACACUGCAGUAGCAGAGAUAGCAAUGGCUGUUCCACCCCACACUGAUACGAUGUCAGGGAGCCAGGGGUGGGCUCAACAGGCUGAAUGAUGCCAGGGACUCCCAAGGGUCUAUACAUUUAACCCUGGAGGAAGUGGCCUCUGACCAGGCAGUGUUUCAAGAACCCAGCUCCAUUCAUCCUAUGAUGCCACCAUCCUCAGCAUUUGACUUCCAUGGCUCCUGUAAGAGAAGAGAACAUGAAGAACAAAACAGGAGGUUUUUAUGGGAGGCAUGUCAAUUUGACCAGAUACUUUGCCCAGAACCUUGUCACAUGGCCUCUGCCUAAAUGACAAUGAGGCUAGUGGCUGGGUGUGGUGGCUCAUGCUUGUAAUCUCAGCACUUUGGGAGGCUGAGCCAGGAGGGUCUCUUGAGCCUAGGAAUUCAAGAUCAGCCUGGGCAACAUAGGGAGACUUCGUCGCUACAAAAAAAAAUAAAUUAAAAAUUAGCUGGGCAUAGUGGCACAUGCCUGUAGUCUCAGCUAGUUGGGAGGCUGAAGUGGGAAGAUCACUUGAGCUGGGAGGUUGAGGCUGCAGUGAGCCGAGAUCACGCCACUGCACUCUAGCCUGAAUGACAAAGUGAGACCCUAUCUCAAAGAAAAAACAAAAAAUGAGUCUGGGUAACGUAGCCUGUGAGACCAGAAAGAAGCAUCAGGAUUGGCGAGUAUUAAUACCAUCUCUACCAUAAACAUUUUUGGAAAUAUUUCUUUUUUUUUUUUAGAGAAAGGGUCUUGCUGUGUUGCCCAGGCUGGUCUCAAACUCCUAGCCUCAAGCAAUCUUCCCAACAUAGCCUCCAAAAGUGCUGGGAUUACAGGCAUGAGCCAACAAGCCUGGCCCUAGAAAUAUUUCUUUCUCUAAAUUCAAAGUAACUAGGGGGAAUAUUAAUCUCAUUCUAAAUAUUUUAUUUUGUCACUCCCUAUCCUUUGUUUUCAAACACCUCACACUACUAUUAUGUGUUAUCACGAGUCAACUGUUUACAUGUCUAUCUCCAGCUGUUGGUUGGGAGCUCACUGAAAAAGGAAACCUUUGUAAUUCAUUUUUGUAUCCUGAGGGCUUAGCACAGAGGCUGGCACCUGUUAGACCUAAGAAGGAUUGGCAACUCUGGACAAAUCAGAGAAGGAGCGUUGUCAACCCUUUUCUCCUGGUGAUGAUGAUGGUGAUGGUCAAUGUCCACUCCCAAAUAUCUAUAUUGGGAAGAGGUGGUUUGUAGGGUGAGCAUUUGUCUUUUGAGUGUAUACUUGAGGGAGGGAUGAAAUUAUGUUUGUUUUAUACUCUAGAAAAAUUGGCUAAAACAGCAAAUGUAAUUUUACAGAAUGAUGGAGAGGGCAUACUGAGGUGGGAGGCAAAUAAUAGAAGGAGAUGUAAAACUGUCAACCUUGAUCCCCACAGUGAUGGGGGAUGAUGACAGCAGGAGUAAGUUAUGGGAUGAUUGUAUGUUUGUGAACCUCAGUUCUUCUGCAGCAUGAGCUGGCAGGAUCCUCUCCUUGACCACCUCAGGUGACCUGCUGGAGCCCACUGGUCUCACCAGGAGAGGUCAUCGGGCCACCAGACCAACUGAAGUAAUAGUUCUUCUUGAGGACAGUCUCUAGCUCCCCCUCUAUCCCAUCCCACAGUCCAAAAAUGCUACCCAGCAUGGCCUAACCCAGAGUCUACCCCCAAAUAAGUGAUUCUGCAAGUUGCUAGAAUUCAAAGAUGCUCACACCCCAGAAUUAGAAAACAUCACUGUGGCAGUUUCAGGUUCUCAGCAAGCAGACCAAGAAUGCACAUGUGAGCUUCCUUUAUUUCAAGUUAAGGAUGCAUUUUCGGUUUUUAAAGUUCAACAAUAAUAAAAUCAGUUGAAAGCCCAACUUCUAGAGCAGUGCUAUUCAAUAUACUAGCACUGGCCUGUGUGGCUAUACAAAUUUAAACUAAUCAAAACUCAACAAAAUUUAAAAUGCAGUUCCUCAGUGGCAGUAGCCACAUGUUAAGAACUAAAUGGCCACAUGUGGCUAGUAGUCACCUUAUUGGACAAGGCAGCUGUAGUACAUUUCUGUCAUCACAGAAAGUUAUGUUGGAUAGCAUUCCUCUAGAAGCUGCUUCCGUGAAGCUGUGUGCCAGCUUUCUAAGUCAAGUUCUGUCGAUCCUAUUUGGUAGAAAAUAUGAUAAAUGUUUUAGAAAAUCACAAGAGGACUUUUAUUUGGCUGAAAUUUAAACAUAUGCAUGCAAUUUCUUAAAAUAUAUUUUACAUAUUUGAAGGUUCAGUUCACCUUGGAAAGCCAAAUUUCACAUCUACAAUAUGAACAAAAUUUCAACUUCCUGGAGCUCAGUGAUAAUUAUGGAUUAUAGGUUAAAAAUAAAGUUAAUAACUCCUAACAAGAGCAUGAGCAAUGUAAGACUUUUUCCAGGUAACAUUAGAAGCAAGAAAUAACUAAAAAAGGACAUUGCUUAUUUUUAAGGGUAUUAUCUCCAAGUACAUAUCAUUUUAAAGAAUAAAAUUUUGUGUUAUCUUUUUCAAAGCACAGAUAUUUCUUGUACAUGUUAACCUUCUAAGCUGCACAAUAAGAUAUGACAUCGUUUCUUUCCAAGAAAAGAAGUUAGUUCACCUAAGAGAAAAAUGAAUCAGCCUGGAUCCUAUUUUAUUAUUGGUCCAGGAGAAGCAAGGACCCUACCUGACUUCAGGGAGACCAUCUGGGCUAGUUAUUAGAGCUGUUUAUAAAACCCUGGCUCUCCUUCUCUAGGGGUGUGGGAGGGCUCACUUCCCCACUCCCUAAAGUAAAAAAAGGCCACAUGACUUGGCUUAAACAUGAGUAAGAGUAAUGAAUGUCUCUUCCAGAAGAAGCAUUUAAGUAACUGUGCUUGAUUCAUUCCCCCUUUCUCUCUACAUUGACAGUCAUGGAAUCCCAAGUUGGAAUCUCCAUCAGCAGAUAACCACUAGUGAGGACGAUUAAGAAAGGCUCUUUUAAUCUACAUUGGACACAUAGCAAGAGGAAAAAUAAACUUUUCUUAUAUUAAGCCAUUAUGAGCAUGAGGAUGUUUGUUACUGCAGUAUAACAUGGCCUUUGCUGACCAAUACCUCAUCCAAAUCUAGGUCACAUGGCACCAAAUGGCAACACGGUUCUGAGUCUUUUGUUUCUAUGAAUACAAAGUGAAAAAGCUAUAUGUGUACAAAUCAAGAAUCAGAUAAAGGUGAAGAAUCAAACUUGACGAAAGCAAUCCUAGGGGCUGGGCAUGCUGUCUCACGCCUGUAAUCCCAGCACUUUGGGAGGCCAAGGUGGGUGGAUCACAUGAGGUCAGGAGUUCAACACCAGCCUGGCCAACAUGGUGAAACCCAAUCUCUACUAAAAAUACAAAAAUUAGCCAGCCAUGGUGGUGGGUGCCUGUAAUCCCAGCUACUUGGGAGGCUGAGGCAGAAGAAUCGCUUGAACCUGGGAAGCGGAGGUUGCAGUGAGCCAAGAUCGCACCACUGCACUCCAACCUGGGUGAUAGAGCAAGACUCCCUCUCAAAGAAAAAAAAAAAAAAAAGCAAUCCUAGGUCUGAUUUCCUACAGACACUAAACAUAGAAAGAAGAAAUGGCUCAUUCAUGUGAGCACAAACAGUAAAGAGGUUUAUUUAAACUCUGCUGUGAGCUUGGGCCUCCUUUCCUGCCUGGUUGAAUUUAAAAAUACCAUAUAGACUGUGUGUACCUAAGAUGCUUUUCCUACAAGAGCCUUAAAAUUUUCAUUUCUCUCUUUCUAGAUAUGCUGCCAAGAGAAUUUUUUUCUUUAAGAACAAAUAAACUAAAGAAAUUAACAUCCAGCUUGCUGAGUCACUUGCUUUCCACUUGAAUUUUAACUACAAGGAUCUGAAGACAGCCUGUGUUAGGCAGAGAAAGAAAGAGACAGAGAAAGAGUCAGGGAGAAGAGAGGAAGAGAGAUGUAGCUGGAGAGUCAGGGAGAAAUUCAAAGAGAUGGAGAGAGAGACUGGUUCUGGAAAGAAAAGAUAAGUUAAAUAGAAAAAGGAAAGUAAUCUUUGAAAGGUUUGUUUAAGACAUGUAUUUUCUUACUCUGUAGUGGGAGCGCUGAAUAAAAAUAUUUAAAUAAAAGCUGUAAUGUGAUUAAGGUUUGAGUUGGGGUUUAAUCGUGGAAAGAGCAAGGUAUUUAGAGUGAAAGAUCUAACUUUUGUAUUUAUUUUUCAUUUUUUAGUGUUUUCGCUUUUUUAAUCCCAGGUCCUCUACCAUUGACUAUCUGAUGUUAACAAAAUCAGUUCGCUUUUGUGUCUUGGUUUCCUCAUCUAUGAAAAGGGAAUAGAAAAACUUACCACAUAAGUUGGUAGGGAAGACACAAUUCUAUAAAA
rnacentral:lncRNA from 1 species